rnacentral:lncRNA from 1 species
UUGUUUUCUUUAACAAAAUAUGAUGGUAAAAUGAUAUAAUAAAUUCCUAGAUCUUGCAUGAUGUGUGGAAUUCUAUUUUUAUAUGUAUCAAGAAUUUUCAUUGAUUUUCGAGUCAACAAUUUUGAAAUUUUGAAUAACCCUGAAAUUGAUUUUUCAAAAUUUAUUUAUGAAAUUUUAUUUAAAGUGUUUGUGGAUGGAAAUAGGUUAUUUGUGAUGAUUGAAUAUUAUGGAAUACCCUUAUAUUUUUUUUGGAAUACCCUUAUAUUAUGGUGUUUCUGUCGCGCAGCGAGGGACCGGUCUCAAGUUUGAGAGACCGGUUCCCGAACGUUGGGAUUUUGGUCACGCAGAGAGGG